GAUGAACGCUAGCUACAGGCUUAACACAUGCAAGUCGAGGGGCAGCGCAGUGUAGCAAUACAUGGGCGGCGACCGGCGCACGGGUGCGUAACGCGUAUCCAACCUUCCCGUUACUCAGGGAUAGCCUUCCGAAAGGGAGAUUAAUACCUGAUGGUGUUCAAAUUCCGCAUGUUAUUUGAACUAAAGAUUUAUCGGUUAUGGAUGGGCAUGCGUUGUAUUAGCUAGUUGGUGGGGUAACGGCUCACCAAGGCGACGAUACAUAGGGGGACUGAGAGGUUAACCCCCCACAUUGGUACUGAGACACGGCCCAAACUCCUACGGGAGGCAGCAGUGGGGAAUAUUGGGCAAUGGGCGAAAGCCUGACCCAGCAACGCCGCGUGAAGGAAGAAGGUCUUCGGAUCGUAAACUUCUGUCCUAAGUGAAGAGCAGAAGACGGUAACUUAGGAGGAAGCCCCGGCUAACUACGUG
rnacentral:rRNA from 1 species